UUCUUGUUGAAUGAUGACUCUCAUGUGUUAUGUUCUGAUUGGAUAUUAACUCCAUGAAAGAUGAAAUACUUUAAUGUUUACCAAUCAAAACAUGACACAUGACAAUCAUCAUCC
rfam:Glycine soja cultivar W05 scaffold358_110, whole genome shotgun sequence.